rnacentral:sRNA from 1 species
AUUUGCUUAAUGCUCUAACCGUGGCAAGCUUGGCUGGAAGGCAGGCUACACAUAGCAGGGAAGAGGGUAGACUCCAUGAGGAGAUGGGGCAGGAUCCAGGGUGUGGUAGCCGACUUAGAGCACACUUCCCUUGAAAAUAUGGGACAAAUAUUUAAUAACGAACAUUGGUCGGAGCCACAAGUGAGUAAAGAGCUAGAUGUUUCCAGGCGGUCGCGGGUCUCAGCGUUUGGGUAAUGGCAGCCCUCUGCUUCCAGAGCGUCUGUCCAAUUCGCAGCACAACUUCACAGGGCAGAGGGAUCAAAGUCCGAGAGUUGACAAGCCAGUAAAACUUAAGAAAGGCACCCGCGUCUCAGCCAACUGGGCUGGGAUCCACCACUAGGAUUUAGUUCUUGCAAGAGAGUCAGACUCCAACUCCGGGACAGAAGCAGAGAUGCUCUCUAUAAAGCCGUGGAGGGGAAAAACAGGCUCAGCCCUUGGAAACAUGAGCCUGGCUUCAACUCGACUCUUGGUCGCCGCCGUAUACCUGACUUGGUGAAGAAGAAAGGAAAGCAAACAUCUCCCAGCAGAAUGAUCGAGCGCAAAGCGUUCAAAACUUGCAAUUCUGACAGACAGUCCUCGAGGGAAGGUGGGGUUCAUGGUUUUUGAGGGGUUUUUGCCCAUCGUGAUAUGGGAAGGACAGAAGAGAAGUUCAGGUCAGGGUGGUCAAAGCUGCUGAUACUGCCACAGACCAGUGUGCAGAGUGGUCAGGACCCUGAGCUGGGGGAAUGGUCAAAGGCACACUCCUAGAGACCAACUUGUGCUCGCUGAUCCCUGCCUCUUGAAAGUUCCACAGCCUCUCAGAAUAGUGCCCCCUGCUGGGAAGGAAGAAUUCAAGACGUGAACCUGGCGGGUGGGGCUUGGGGGGUGGAUUUCAGAUUGAAACUAGAACAGAAGGCCCAGAAAAGGGAGGUCGGUGAGAGUCUGUAUUCUUAAUUCAGGACGGCUUACAAAUAUGACUAGUUAAUUUAUAAGAUGUAAACUAAUACUUAAAAAAAAAAGAAUUUAGCAAACCAGACAGGGAAUUUCAGGACGGCAGUGACCUUUGUGCUUGCUGAGGCAUCGUAGGCGACAGUCUGCUGGAGUCCGGGAAGCCAUCUGCAGCUAGAGGGACCCUGCAGCUAGGGGGACAAUGAGCUGUCUGUCUCCUCCUCUACCUCCAGCUCUCCCUUGAGGGUUUGCGUUGGCAGAAUCUAAGCAGGAAUUUCUGGGAAAUUUAGUUUCCAGAUGUUACAGCCCCUGUGAGUCAGGACACAGAAGGGGAAAGAGCUACCAUGGCCACGGGGCCCAAGUGAAAGACAUCAAUUAUUUUAGGGUGAUGUCAGAGAAAGUGGGUCGCAGUGGAAAUGGAGCUCGGCGAGGCCGAGUCUGGGUGGAAGGACUGUGGGGAAGCAACACCCCUGCAGACAGGAACUGUGAGACACGCUAGGCAGAGUGACAAGGAGGUUGAAAUGCCACAACCUUCGAGAGUGACAGAUGCUCUUUGUUUUAAAGAGCUCAGUAGCGUGUAUAUAGAAAAUAAAGGCACCGUGGAUGGGACAAGGGGACUGUAAGAACCUGUCCCCCACUCUUGCUGAUAGUUUGAAAGCAUUCUGUGAAAUAAAUAUUCUUCUUCCAGACUAGGCAAAAAUGAAAACGGUUAGCAUUUGGACCUCGGUGUUGGAACUGGAGGUUAGAAGGUAGAAAUGUGGGAGGGAGUUAGACCAGAAGUUGACGGAACUUGGCAAGGUGAGUAGCAGGAGGAAGGCAGGAGCAACCAGGACUCCACAGUCUGUGGGGUGCGUAGCAUUGUGAACGGGCACCAUGAAUUGAGACAUGGCCAUAAAAAAAGUCGGAGCAGUUCCCUUUGGGAUGUGUUCUGUGUUAGGAUGUGAAACUACAGACAUCAAUAAUCAAGACAGAGGUGGUGGUGUGUCGUGUCCCCCCCACCCGCUUCCUGCUGAACAUACAUGACACCUUUGCAUACAAAGGGAAGUAUAACUCUCUACGUGUGAGUUUGGCCACAGUCACAGAAAAGAACUGAUUGAUAUCUAUCAAAGAUAUUUCCCCAUCUUAUUCCCCGAUGGAGCUUGAUGCUUGAAAUCCAACACGUGGUACUUCAAACUCCUGGCUUUAAGUUAAGGCACCUUAAAGGUUUGUGCUGCCCAUCUACCUGUGGUGUGGCGUGCUGAGACUUGCUUUGUCACACGUACCCUGAAAACAAUCAGUGCAUAUACACACACUAGUGCUGCUAUAUGGCCAGAGCUCGCAGCAUGGCCUAUUACAUGAUUUUUCCAGAAAGAUGAUAACAGGCAUCACACCAGACAGGGCAUCAGUGUCAGGUCACAGAAAUUACUCUACUAAAUUCCAGCUUGAGGAACCAAGGAAUCUUUUGGGGUUAUAUACAGCAACGUAGCAAGGGGCUCCUUGAAAGAACCUGAGUGGCUUAAAAGCAGCUGUACCCCCCAAAAUGACCCACCAGAGCUUCGUCCCCGGGACUCCCCACCUAUCUCAAAGGUAACCCCUUAGAGAGUCUCGUCUUGAGCAACAAUUAAUUAUUGCUUAUAUAACCCAGAGUGGGGCCUGUCCUGUUAACUUCUGCUGUCAACCUGACAGCCCAGAGUCAUCUCAGAGAGGCUCCAUUGGGGAAUCAGAUCGAUCAAAUUGUCCUGUGGCCAUGUCUAUGAGGAAGUCUUUUAGUUGUGGAUUAUUGUCAGAGGGCACAGUCCCCUGUGGGUGGUGCCAUUCCUUAGCAGAUGGUUCUGGGCUAUCUAACAAAGCUGGCUGAGCAUGAGGGAGAGAGAGAGAGUAAACCAGCAUGCAGUGUUCCUCCAUGCAACUCUGCUCCAGAUUCCUGCCUCUCGAGAGGUCCUGCACCGGCUUCCCUCCGAGAUGAACUUCUACCUGGGAGUGUCUAUUGGAACAAACACUUCCCUCCCCAAGUUGUUUUUGGUCAUGGUGUUUAACAGAAUGACAUAAAGGAAGCUAGAGGAAGGCAUAUUCCUACUAAGUCUUGUAAGCUUCCUGGGCCUGCUAAAUUUUAUGGGUUUGUGAGUUUUGCUAGCUCCUUGUGUCUUAUGAGCUCCUGUCCUCUCUUAACUCUCCAGGAGGACAUGUUUCAGUUCGGGGGCAAUAGCUACACAGUAGUGCCCAUGAUGAGCCAGAGCUAGAAGAAUCACUGGCCCCUACAUAAAGCCCUGAUUGUCAGAGAGACAGGAGGUCUUCAUGAGUCUGGGGAAACUUGCUGUGACUUACUUUGUCCUCUGUCUUCAUAGGCUCCCUGCCUGCUCUAUCUAUUUUUUCUUCUAUUUCUUUAACAACUUGAUUGUUGAAACCCCAGGAAAUUCUAAGCCCAUUUCUCCCAUCAAAAUGAAAGGAACUUAUUGAUGAAAUCAUGAGUCCAUUAAGAUUGAGUGGUACAUCUCCAUUAGGGCCACGAUUUGCAUCAUAAAACAGAUUAACAUGAAAGGUGGAAGCACUCUUCUUGGAGAGGAAAUGCACAAAAGAAUCUUUUAGGGCCUUCCGAAUUAAAGCAGAAUAAACACUCCACCAGGCACAGAGAGAAGGCAAGGGACAGGGGGGAAGGUUUCGACAGAGCCAAGCAAGACUGAAGACCUGCAGCCACAUAAGUGGUGUGACUCAUAGCUUAGUUGUGGGUAGACAGCAGAAGCCAGGGAACAUUCGGAGCUGAAAGAAACACUCGUAUUAAACAUUCUGCUGGAGCAAGGGUUCCCACUGCAGUGUGCUUACAGAGCCCUGCUCUGAAGUAUGCCUGGGCCGGCCGUUCUCGCUACUUUAAUGGAGUUGCUGAGAACCACCCUCUUGCCCGGCUAAGAGCCUGUGGUUCUGAGUGGAUGAGAGUGCUGUUCUCCUCAACCUUCCUCAGAAUGUUGAGAGGACAGUUCUGUGACAAGAGCUUUGCCAUGUGGCCUCCCCAGGAAUCUAGAUUGUUCCGGAUGAUCAAAGGAUAAUGAAAUAAACCCUACAUUAAUAGAGCACAGGGUUCUGGGAGUGUGUUGGGGGGCGGGGAUGACGUCUUCUCUUGCCUAUCAAGCUGGUGCUGUUUGUGUGUGUAUCACUUGCUUAGCAGCAUCAAGACCUUUAGCUAAAAGGAGAGGCUGGCUUAAAGGAUUGGAGCACCCGGGGGAUUCGCUGUUUGAUGGAAACAGGUCAGAGAAAGGAGCAAGAGAAUGAUCGGCCGUCUUACUCUUCUGGUGGGGUCUCUUUGCUCAUGUGUGAGAGGCAGUUCAUGCCAGCUCACAGACAUCAAGCAGAAUUUCUUCCUAAUUCCCCCACUCAGUGACUUCAUAGGAGGUUGGCACUGGCUAGGAUAGGAAUGUUUACAUUGCCAGAAUUGGCAGAUGUCACAAACCAGGGUGUUUUUUUCUCCCCUACUGUGGUUGCCUUGUUUUCUCCCCUAGAAAAUUUAUCGUUAAAUAUUUAUCAGCAUUCUCCUGGAAUUUGAUUGAAAGAUAAUUUGGCCAUCAAAGCAGCCACACGGCCUUCUGAAACUCUGGCUGAAAGCUUUCUGAGCACAGCAAGGGUCAAACAAGUGACCGGGCGGAGCUCGGCGGAAUUUGGAAAAAGGGAAAGGAUUCUUGGAAUACACGCCUGUGUGACAUACUCACCCAUGAACACUCACCUGAGGGUCAGUGCUCACAGGGUGACAUGGUAGGCACCUCUCGAAAGUUGUAAAGGGACCUUUAGGAAUGUGGCCACGAGAUGGACACUACUUAGACAUGAUGUGGGCCUCUUUCUCAUUGGACCAGGGACUUCAGAUAAAGGAUAAGACCCAGGAGGCUGGGCCUCAGAAGGACCAAUUUACAGGGCAUUUUGAUAGUGAACCAAUUAACCUCUUCUACCUAUAGGGCUCAGACAAAAGAUAGUUGGGCUCAGGAUGCAUUCUGGGAGCACUGCCGCGUGUGGGUGGUAAUGAUGUGUCAGAAGUUCUUUUUCAGAUGGGCUAAGUAGACUCCAGUCCUAUAUGGAAUGUCCGAGGCUGUGUCAGAGAAACACAAAGGUCUCUUCUGCCUCCCUUCCUGGGUUCUAGGAUUCUUCUGAAAAGAACCCUAAUGCUAACUAGAAGGUAGAAGAGUGGAAGCCCAGACACAGAUUAAGGAGUACACAUAGGUUCGGCCACAAUGGAGAUCAGGGAGGGAGGAUCUUCAACAAACUAAGAAAGAACCAGUGUAUGGCCCACUACAGCGUGUCCAGGUUAUUUACCUGAGGGACCGUAAGCCAACCUAUCACCCUGUGAACACUGCUGUGAGUUCACAAUUAUGGCUGAGUUAUGUACGGAAGCAAGAGAAGCGUCCGUCAACAAAUGACAGGGUUAAAUGGAGUGUGUGUGUAUAACGAAACUUUAGUCAGCUCUAAGGAAGAGCAGAAUCAUGCUGUUUGUUGAAGAACGGGUGUGACAGAAACUAACUAUAUGAAAUAAGUCAGCAAGAUAAGUGUCACACAUUUUUAGUCCUUUUGCACAUCCUUGGGUACACACACACACACAACACACCCUCACACACACUAAGGAAAAAAAAACUGGCUUCGAAGGACAAAAGGAGGCUACGAAAGGAAACAUAUUUGUUCGACUUUGAGGAAGAAGCCGAUUUGUCUGAAGGAGUCUGGGGACAGCCCUGCCUUUGUCUGAUAAGCCCUCUCUGCAAGUCCCUGUAAGCCAUAUGUGUUUAAGAUGUAGAGGAUCAGCUCAGGGGAUCAGCGCACAGCCCUGGAAGCGUUAGCAUGCGCUUCCUACUUUAAGCAGCUGUCUGGCAAAAUGGUCUGUCACUGUCAUAGGGCAGCCGAGCAUGAGAGUGCUUUGACAGUGCGAGUCUGUCUCAAUCCUUCCACCCAAACUCAAAGGAACGUCUUCCCAAAGGCCGAGGGCAGCCAUUCUUUGCAGCGGGAGUAAGCUCGGCUGAUGGCUUAAUCUGGAAGCCAAUUGGCUUUCAAGGAGACAUAACUCACUCCAUAUUUAGAGAAACGUUUGGAGUCUAUUGGGACUGCUUCGGGAGGGGAUUUGAAAACUUUGAAAAGGAACCUGAUAUGAACACUGACCGACUGGAAGACCUUCUGUCUUUCACAAGUGGGCACGUACCUGGCAGCCCUUGCUGGCUUGGCUUCAACUCCUAGAUCCCGGAUCAUGGAAGCCCUGGAGGGUCUGGCAGUUGGUUCCGGAGUCAACAAGAAGCAGGCAGCCACCACCAACCUAGAAGUAUUAUCAUGGUUUAACAGCAAUCCAAGCAAUGUCUCUGCUCCUGAAAUGGAACCUGGGCCUUGUUGGACGACGUGGGACAAAGGAGAGAGGCAGGUCCACUGUGGGGUCUGUCUGUGUUUAUAUGGUUGGCAGAGCGCGCUUUGAUGUCACCCUGAUGACGUCUGUCAUCUUCCCCACACCUGCUAUGGCAUGGCUGCCUUCAGUCACAAGCCUGAUUCACAGCACACUCUAUGUUUAGCAGCGCUCUGAGAAGGAUUCCAGUCUGCCUUCAGCCCUAAAUAGCUACAAAUAUCAGAGUAGCAGCGGCAGCCCUUCAAAGGCCUUUUUGGGAAGUGUCAUGCCAGAGAUGGGGUGACACAGAGGAGCCCCAGAAAGAAGCAAGAUGUCACCUGGAAACUGGAGGGAAAAAGAAGAAAUGAACCAGCGUCGACUGCUAAGAAGGUGAAGAAAUGAACCAGCGUCGACUGCUAAGAAGGUGAAGAAAUGAACCAGCGUCGACUGCUAAGAAGCUUUAGAGUGGGGCCAGGCUGCUAACUGCGCCAACGCUGCAUUUGGAGGGCUGUGACUUGCAGCCUGACCUCCUGGAACUGAGUGGAGCAGCAAUCAACAAUGACUUUGUAAGCUGAUCCCUGCUACAGACCGUACAAAAUCCUCAACGGGGAGAGCUGCUUACCUACAGAGGUCACAGGAGCUCUGUGCUCACCACCCCUAAUGCCCGUGUUCCUUGAAGUUGGCUGUUCCUGAGUUGUAUCUUUUGAAGUGAACUGACAUUGAUUCCUUUGGAAACUUGGAUGGCAUCGUUUAAUCUGUGGAGUGGGAAAAAGGAGACGAAGGAAGGAAGAGGAGAGGAGACCAUAAACCUCGCUGAGAGCUCACUGGAUCCGGGAAGUUGCUAAUAAAAACCCAGGCGGGGAUGGCACCUGCAGACAACUCACUCUACCUAGCCGUCAGAGCUGGCCUGGAAGAACAAAGGCUUUCUGGGGAGCUGCAAAUCACACAUUGAUCUUGCCCGAGAGUAUCUUUCCUUAGCGAUGAGAAGCUGGAAUAAAACGAAGUGGAAUGAAAAGCGGCAAGCAGAGGCCCUGAAGACUCCCACAGAAAUCCUGGUUCUGCAGAUUUACCUGUGCCGUGGGACCCACCUGUGUGGGACGAGGCACUUCUUGUUGAGCGUUCUGCUGCUCCAGAGUGCUUCAGCAUUACGUGUGGAAAGCAGAGACUUGAGGAAAAAUCAGUCAAACGAGAGCAUUGCAUAACUCGGACCACUGGAAAAUCCAUUCCCCCUUUAGGCAUCCCAAUGAGGGCAGUAACAACUAAGCAUGUUCCGGCUGUCGUGCUUACUCUAAUGCUGGCACUGGGGAGGAGAGGAGGCAAGUGCAUCCUAGGAGUUUGCUAGCAAGUGAGCCAGCUUCACCCCCUCACGCCACUCCCGGUUGCUAGAAUAGGAGGGCCUCUCCCAGAAUACUCCACACAACAGAUGGUUGAUCUACACCAGGAAACACCCAAAGAAGAAGACCAAGGCCACCACAGGCGGCAACUUGCCUACUCACCAGGGUCCAAGGAAGACCUCCAUCCCAUGGUGGGUAGAGUCCACAUGUGGGUCUCUGGGCUCUCUUCUCUGGUCUUCCUGUCCUCGUUGCUUUACUAAGGGAGACCUGUGAGCAACAGUGUUUUAACGCACGUUAUAGACGACACCGGAGUGUGGCUCUCACCAAAGCGUGUGCCUGACGUGAAGUGUGCCAGACUCCACGAGAAGUGUGUCUGGGCCAACUGACAGCAGUGGCUCUGGCUUUGACACGGCUCUCAGCACUCCCAUUCUGUUCCGAGAGGCCAGGAAGCAGAUGGAGAGAGAAUAAGCAAUGCAGUGGGAUGUCUACAUCUUGGCAGUCAGUUCACGGCGAGCUAUGUUUCUCAAGCUAUUAAGAUACAUGAUGCUACCUGUACAUUUAAUCUCUAAUCAAGUAUGUAAUUUUUUUAUUGCCUAGGGUAUGUCUAUGCAGUUGAAAGCAAAAACCUGUGUUCUAUCUUUAAAGAAAAAAUAAAACAACAACAAUAACAACCACAACACCCCUGUAAAAUCAAGAGAGAGGGAGCAAGAAGUUGGGUGGGUGGUGAGGUGGGGGAGAAUCGGGGAACAAUGGAGGAGGAAAACAAUAUAAUCAAAACAUACUGUAUGGAAAUUAAAUGUCCACCCUGCUCCUUGUGAAGUUUGCUUCCUUCACAGUGAUGUGAAGGGAACAGUGAUAUGCUUCCCCAAGGGGCACGAAGGAGAGGUGCUCUGAGAAAGUGACAUAAACAGGGAAGAUUUUUCUUCUUUGUAGAGAAGGGCGUUAGAGUACAGCAUUGUGAGAUUGCUCAGUGUGUGCACAGAGUACAGCAUUGUGAGGUUACUCAGUGUGUGCACAGAGUACUGCAUCAUCAGAUUACUCAGUGUGUGCACAGAGUACUGCAUUGUGAGAUUACUCAGUGUGUGCACAGAGUACUGCAUUGUGAGAUUACUCAGUGUGUGCACAGAGUACAGCAUUGUGAGAUUACUCAGUGUGUGCACAGAGUACAGCAUUGUGAGAUUACUCAGUGUGAGCACAGAGUACUGCAUUGUGAGAUUACUCAGUGUGAGCACAGAGUACUGCAUCAUCAGAUUACUCAGUGUGAGCACAGAGUACUGCAUCAUCAGAUUACUCAGUGUGUGCACAGAGUACUGCAUUGUGAGAUUACUCAGUGUGUGCACAGAGUACUGCAUUGUGAGAUUACUCAGUGUGUGCACAGAGUACUGCAUCAUCAGAUUACUCAGUGUGUGCACAGAGUACUGCAUCAUCAGAUUACUCAGUGUGAGCACAGAGUACUGCACUGUGAGAUUACUCAGUGUGUGCACAGAGUACUGCAUUGUGAGAUUACUCAGUGUGAGCACAGAGUACUGCAUUGUGAGAUUACUCAGUGUGUGCACAGAGUACAGCAUUGUGAGAUUGCUCAGUGUGUGCACAGAGUACUGCACUGUCAGAUUGUUCAGUGUGUGUCAAACCAGCUUUAGCAGCACUGAGAGAGAACUGACUUCAUUAACACUGGAGAUCUUGGAGACAGAUCAAGUACUCCUAUGCAGGGCAACACAAGGCACUGCAUUGAAGGAAGUCUUCCAAGAGCAGAGAAAUUCUCUCCUGGACACUACUUCCACAGAAUUUUCAGAUAGUUCCAUUUAACUUCCAAGUUCGUUGAUCAACUGUCAUGGGGAGAAGGGAUAGACGUCACGGAGCAUUGUGUCAUUAACAUUCGUUGCUGAAGAAGACUGGGAAGCAAUUCUAAAUUUGCAGCAGCCACGAGGUCCAUGGGCAGAGGUGGACAGAAGUGAGGACUGUCCAAAUGGUGGACUGCUUUGAGCAAGUGAAUGAGUCGUUGCAACUCCACAACUGGGUACGAUAAAAACGCUUCCAUAAACAAUGUAAAAUCAACUGGGUAAGGCGUAAUCCCAUUUAUUUACAGUUCAAAAAUAAACAAAGCGAGUCGCUGACAUCUGAAGUGAGAAGAGAUACCCGCCAUGGGCGAGCUUAGUGAAGAUUCAGCUUCAGGCGUUAGGGAUGGUUUCGUCCCUGAUGGGUUGUUGGUUACGAGCACAUGUUUGUUCUCCACGAGCAUACAUUUUAUUUCUGAGUCGUGUAUAUUUUUUUCUUCAUCCUGAAUCAGCAAAACAGUUACAAGCAAGCAAUGUCAACAUAGUUUCUUUUGCAUGUAUUAAAGUUUGGACCGUUCAGUCAAUCGUUUAAAGGACUAGGUAUGUGGGAGGAAGUGGCCCACAAAGGCUGAAGAGUUAAGUAUUUAAAGACUCAGAAUUACUUGAGAUAGUGAAAAAACGUUAGAGAGAAAAAUUUGAGCUUGGCUUCGUAGUCUAAAUUUCUUUGUCAGUAAAAACCUUCAUUUGUGGUAAAAUUUGGGCAGGGGAGUAAUGGUAUUUGAUAAGGGGUGGGGAAGAAUGUGAACUCAAAAUUAUAACCCAUUUUCUUUCUUUUUAACAUUUUCAGGUCAACACCAAACGUUUAGGUUCUGUGUGAUCAAAAUAGAAGGUCUUCACGUAUAUGGACCUGUCCUCCGCUAAGAUGUAAUUAUCAGUUGAUCAGGUUGAAAGACGGCUGAGUAGAUCCGGCACUAACAACAGAAUCAUCACACCAUGGAGAAACAAAUGUUCUAACAAUGUUCAUAACUCUACACGAUCCUUUCCUUUUUCACCACAAUCUAUGCUUCCCCAUCUGGCAGACAAGUAUGGAUCCCUUUCAACAUGGUAGGUAACAUUCCAGAUUGGAUAAUAAAAGUCUCUGUGGGAGAA